AGUGAAAACUGCCGAAGAGAUAAGGUUCUCUUUUUUUUCUCGUGCAGUCCCUGAUAACCGCUACCGCCGGGAGACGCUCGCACUGUGCGCCGCCGUGCCAUGCGCUAGCAGCGCCGCAUCGCCAGUAUAUACGGAACCGCUCUGUCGACGCCGCAGAGGGUACCGCGCUGGAGGGCCAGGCCACGUCGCGCGCGCCUGAGGGCAUCGCUAUCUGGCCGUCCCAUCUCCUUCACGGGAGGGGCCGUGGCCCCGAGCAGCCACGCCGGAGGGCGCCGCUCGUCGGGGAGUUGAAGCCCUACAUCCGCGCCAUGGUCCACUGCUCCGCGCCUCUCUACAGAUCGAGGGUGCAGCGGCGUGUGCCAUAAGCCGUGGUCGCGGGCACCGCCAUGCGCAGGUUCCGUCGAUUGGAGCCGCGCCGAUGGGAGCGUCGUCGUGCCUAGCGUUGGAGGGACGAGAUGCAUCACCAGGCUGGGUGCCGCGCGCCGGAGGGCGCUGCCCCGCAGGGAGCCGCCUCCGACGUCGUGCGCCAAGGCGACGCCGACCGCUGCCGUUGGCAGUGGACUCGAGCACCAGGCAUGGGGCCUCGCCCGGUUCUUCUUCCCCUUUGGAUUUUCCUCGUUCGAGUUGAAAAUCACUGGAGUUGCUGGGGGGCGUCGUGGCAUGGAGUCGAGGUGGAGGGCCGGUCGCAGGCACUGCCGUUGAUGCGGGGCUGCGCGCCGCACCGGGAUUGGUCAUGGCCGUGGCCGCCCCCGAGUAAGGCGGGCCCCGCGCGUGGGAAGGGCCUCGCCGGGGGUAGCGACGGGAUCACGGGACCAAGGGCAUCGCUGUGGAGGACUGGCCGAGGCCUGCCGAUCUGCGCCAGAUGCAAGACGAGGGCCGCGUCGUCUGCCGGGGAGCGUCGCUGCUGCUCUUCGAGACGUCGCCGGCCUCGGUCUUCCCCGUUCUGUGUCGCCCCAUGAGGCCGGUAGCCGCUCUGCCGAGAGCGUGCUGAUAACGUGUUGAAAAGAAACGAGAGAGAGAGGAAGACAGAGAAGUAAAAGUGAAUCGUUGUUCUCAUUGAUGAUGGAAUUACACACAUAUAUAUAGCCCUUAAAAGGGUGCGUCCGAAGGAACACGAGACAACCGCCUCGAUUAGAAAAAGCAGGAAUUAAUAGGAUUAAUUAAAUCCUAACAGGAUCUAGAGAAGUUGGUCGUCAUGGUUUGUUUUGGGUCGGGCUGCUUCCCUAGGAGGCAAGUUUUGCCAUGUUAUUUUCUCUGUUUUGGGCCGGGCAUUACUUGUCCCUCUGCUACUGGCACCAUGCUCACACCUUCUGCGUUCGUGGCAUGCGUUUUGUAUCA